rnacentral:sRNA from 1 species
CGGGGAGUGUGUGUUGCCAUCGCGUCUCCGCCUGCAGCUCGGCUUCGCCGUCCGCAUCAUCUCCAUCCAUUAUUGAAGAAACAGCCGCGUCCGCUCCAAUCACAUCAACACCCCCGCCCCCUCUCCGUUCCGCUCGCCCCGCGGCCCCUCUGGGUGCUGAGGAGAGGGGAAGCCAAGGCGCGGUGGGGGCGCCGGGUGGGAAUGGGCUUAUGACCCUUGCCCCAAGCCCGGCCAGGAGCCGGAACGCCGGGGUCCCCGGCGGAGAGCGCUUUGCAUGAACAGAUGGCGCGGGCGUCUUUGUCUCACUCGUUCGCUCACCGCACAGCUCCCGGCUCCGCUUCUGUCUGGCUGAUGCAAUCAUGAUCAUCUCGGUGCCUCGGGACCCGGCGCCCUUAAUAAUGGCAGAGGGGGUCAGGGGCCCCGGGGCUCCCGAGCAGAUGCUGGGCCCUGUGUCUUCCCUCCCGGGCGCCCCUCCAGGUCCCACAGCCUCAGCGGGAAGAUCAACGCUGCGCGGAGGUGACGGGCAUAUGGAGGUGACCAGGAGGAGGACCCCGGGCACUGAGGAGGAGGACCCCGGGCAGUGCCCCGAGGCGUCCCCGGGCUGCCUUGUUGGGCUGCUGCAGUCCCCAGAGGCAGCAACCCAGAGAAUAGGAAUAGAGCUGGGGAAUGGGGUUGGGGAGAGACAGAGAUAAAGACAGAGACAAAGAGAGGCAUUAGUAAAGAGAGACACAGUGAGAUGGAGAGAUGUGGAGGGAGGGAGCGAGACACAGAGAAACCGAUGCAGAGGGACAAAGCCAGGUAGGGAAGGCAGCAAGAGGGAGAGCAGACAGACACAGCCAGAAUAGGGAAGAGAGAGAUGGACAUACCCAGAGACAGGAAGCAGACAGAAGGCAGAAAGAACAAGAGGCAGAAAAAAGGGCAGCCAGAGGCUAGGACAGGCUGGGUCAAAGGGCUUAGGGCAAUCUCGAAUCUGCAGCCCAUAAGCAGAGAUGAAGCCCC